AACGUUACNNNNNNNNNNNNCCUCGGCGGGAACUCAUGCCCCGGGUGCGUCGCAGCCCCGGACCAAGGCGCCCGCCGGAGGACCAACCAAAACUCUUUUUGUAUACCCCCUCGCGGGUUUUUUAUAAUCUGAGCCUUCUCGGCGCCUCUCGUAGGCGUUUCGAAAAUGAAUCAAAACUUUCAACAACGGAUCUCUUGGUUCUGGCAUCGAUGAAGAACGCAGCGAAAUGCGAUAAGUAAUGUGAAUUGCAGAAUUCAGUGAAUCAUCGAACCUUUGAACGCACAUUGCGCCCGCCAGUAUUCUGGCGGGCAUGCCUGUCCGAGCGUCAUUUCAACCCUCGAACCCCUCCGGGGGGUCGGCGUUGGGGAUCGGCCUUCCUUCACGGGGGCCGUCUCCGAAAUACAGUGGCGGUCUCGCCGCAGCCUCUCCUGCGCAGUAGUUUGCACACUCGCAUCGGGAGCGCGGCGCGUCCACAGCCGUUAAACACCCAACUUCUGAAAUGUUGACCUCGGAUCAGGUAGGAAUACCCGCUGAACUUA
rnacentral:rRNA from 1 species